AACCGCUUCGGUGGUGGAUUAGUGGCGAACGGGUGAGUAACACGUGGGCAAUCUGCCCUUCACUCUGGGACAAGCCCUGGAAACGGGGUCUAAUACCGGAUAAUACUCCUGCCUGCAUGGGUGGGGGUUGAAAGCUCCGGCGGUGAAGGAUGAGCCCGCGGCCUAUCAGCUUGUUGGUGGGGUAAUGGCCUACCAAGGCGACGACGGGUAGCCGGCCUGAGAGGGCGACCGGCCACACUGGGACUGAGACACGGCCCAGACUCCUACGGGAGGCAGCAGUGGGGAAUAUUGCACAAUGGGCGAAAGCCUGAUGCAGCGACGCCGCGUGAGGGAUGACGGCCUUCGGGUUGUAAACCUCUUUCAGCAGGGAAGAAGCGCAAGUGACGGUACCUGCAGAAGAAGCGCCGGCUAACUACGUGCCAGCAGCCGCGGUAAUACGUAGGGCGCAAGCGUUGUCCGGAAUUAUUGGGCGUAAAGAGCUCGUAGGCGGCUUGUCACGUCGGAUGUGAAAGCCCGGGGCUUAACCCCGGGUCUGCAUUCGAUACGGGCUAGCUAGAGUGUGGUAGGGGAGAUCGGAAUUCCUGGUGUAGCGGUGAAAUGCGCAGAUAUCAGGAGGAACACCGGUGGCGAAGGCGGAUCUCUGGGCCAUUACUGACGCUGAGGAGCGAAAGCGUGGGGAGCGAACAGGAUUAGAUACCCUGGUAGUCCACGCCG
rnacentral:rRNA from 1 species